GAUGAACGCUAGCGGGAGGCCUAACACAUGCAAGCCGAGCGGGAUUUGUUGGUUAGCUUGCUAACUAACAAUGAGAGCGGCGUACGGGUGCGUAGCACGUGUGCAACCUGCCUUUAUCUGGGGGAUAGCCUUUCGAAAGGAAGAUUAAUACCCCAUAACAUAUUGAUUGGCAUCAGUUAAUAUUGAAAGCUCCGGCGGAUAGAGAUGGGCACGCGUAAGAUUAGCUAGUUGGUGAGGUAACGGCUCACCAAGGCUGCGAUCUUUAGGGGGCCUGAGAGGGUGAUCCCCCACACUGGUACUGAGACACGGACCAGACUCCUACGGGAGGCAGCAGUGAGGAAUAUUGGACAAUGGGCGAGAGCCUGAUCCAGCCAUCCCGCGUGAAGGACUAAGGACCUAUGGUUUGUAAACUUCUUUUAUACAGGGAUAAACCUACUCUCGUGAGGGUAGCUGAAGGUACUGUAUGAAUAAGCACCGGCUAACUCCGUG
rnacentral:rRNA from 1 species